rnacentral:lncRNA from 1 species
CUGGAUGUGGCUGCAAAGCAGACAGAUGGGUAGUAACACAAAUAUGUUGUUCUGCGGCACAGUGAAGAGGUGACCAACCCUCGUUGCUAUCAACAUCAGUGGGAUAUGAGGUUAUGAGGCAAUUUACAGAGCUGAGUUGGUAGGAAUCUUUUCUAGAAAAGGAUUUAGGUAUUUAGCCCAAAGGGCAGAAUCUGAUUCACCUUACAGGAAAACAAAUCAACCCAGAGACUUCUGUGGGGAAGGAUCUCCGUGUGGGUUUGCUGUGUCCUGUGGAAUAGAGCAGUUCCCAGGCCGUGCCUGUGCUGGCUGAGUGGCUGGAAUAAAAGAGAUACUUUCUUUCCUUCAAAUUAGGUGUAGUGGGUAUCUGUGAAGGAGCACCCUUCUGCCUGCACGAGGGGCUGUGAGCUUCCUACCAGGAACUUUUGGGAUCCUGUACUGUCAGCUCAGCCCUGCCUUCUGAGAGCUGCAGGAGACAGCAAGGCUGCAGCAGAGGCAGGGCAGAGCCUGCUGAUCCUGGAGGGCUCAGAAAAAUGCGAGGUAUUUCACUCCAGAAGAACACAGUUCUGGCCUGGCACAAACACAGCAAUUUGGUUUGAUAUGACACAUUAUGUUUAUAACCAGAAAUGUCAGAGAAAAGACACAGAAGGUAUGGACAAGUAUAAGGAUGUAGUGUAUGUCCACGAGCCUGGCCGAGGAAAGCAGCUAAUGGAUUCCUUGCCUGCAGUGCAACAGCAAGGGGAGCACAGACCCUGCUGUGCUGAGCCUUCCUGUCUGCCAGAGGACUGUCUCUCUUCCCUAAGUGGUUGAUUUGUGUGAGCAACCACCACACACCCAGAAAUGUAUUUGCAAAUAAUACAGCAGCUAUGUUGCUUUCAGGAACUCCUUUAACAUUUCAGUUUGAGAAUUGAUUAGUACUCAGUGACGCUUGAGCACUCAGUCAUGAAAGAGUCAGGAAAUGUUGUAAAUACAGUUACACAAAAUUCUUUAGUUAUGUGACUCAAAGGAAUAUUCAUUCAUUCUACAUGUUUAGAUGUAUUUUUUUGCAUUUCCCAUCUGCAACAGGAAUAAUAAUUUUUCUCCAAACACACUGCAUUUCCAGAGCUUGUUGGGAAAGCACAGGGUCUCCUGUAUCUUUGUAGAACUCCCCACUUCCUGUCACUUCAUAGUUUCAAGUGAAAUAGCAGCCUCAUAUGAAGAGAAAAAGACCACACAAGACCACAUGUUGUUUACUUUGGGCUGAUUAUUCACAUGUUACAAGCAGCCAAGAGAGGAAGAGAGUGUUUUCCCCUAAGUUCUAAAAGCACAAUUCCAUCAAAGCAAUGGUUGUCUUUGCUUUAACAAAAUUUGUUCAUGUCUGCCAACUGAGAUAUAAAGGCUUGAAUUCGAAAAAUACCUCCCCUCUUGUUUAUUUUAUCAUUUGUAAGUAAACCCCCUCUGCCUAGAGUAGGCAUUUUUAUGUUGCUAAAUUUCUUUUCUUUGGUAUCAUUUUUAAAAAUCUAUUUGGGGAUUUAAUUUUGAUUCCUUUGAUCAGCCUUGUUGCACUGUCGAUGAGUGCUCUCUCCCCUGUUUCUGUUCCCCACAUGGCACAGGGGCAGUUUCCCAUGGGUGGUGUGGGCACAGACCCAGCAUG